rnacentral:rRNA from 1 species
UACGUAGGGUGCAAGCGUUAAUCGGAAUUACUGGGCGUAAAGCGUGCGCAGGCGGUGAUGUAAGACAGGUGUGAAAUCCCCGGGCUUAACCUGGGAACUGCAUUUGUGACUGCAUCGCUGGAGUGCGGCAGAGGGGAUGGAAUUCCGCGUGUAGCAGUGAAAUGCGUAGAUAUGCGGAGGAACACCGAUGGCGAAGGCAAUCCCUGGGCCUGCACUGACGCUCAUGCACGAAAGCGUGGGGAGCAAACAGG